rnacentral:rRNA from 1 species
GCUUAACGCGAAGAACCUUACCAGGGUUUGACAUGCAGGAGACCGGGGUGAAAGCUCCCUUCGGUAGCAAUACCGCUGCUGCACAGGUGCUGCAUGGCUGUCGUCAGCUCGUGUCGUGAGAUGUUGCGUUAAGUCGCGCAACGAGCGCAACCCCUGUCUUUAGUUACCAGCACGUAAUGGUGGGGACUCUAAAGAGACAAACCUCCUCUGGAGGUGGGAAGGUGGGGAUGACGUCAAGUCAGCAUGGCCCUUACACCCUGGGCUGCACACGUACUACAAUGCCCGGUACAGAGCGUUCCGAUACCGCGAGGUGGAGGCAAUCGCUAAAAGCCGGGCCCAGUUCAGACUGGAGUCUGCAACUCGACUCCAUGAAGCCGGAAUCGCUAGUAAUGGCAUAUCAGCAACGGUGCCGUGAAUACGUUCCCGGGUCUUGUACACACCGG